rnacentral:rRNA from 1 species
UAAAAUUUUUAGGUCUUAGAGAUUUACGGGUAAAUUAGAAAAAAGUAAUUUUAGCUAUUUUUUUUUUAUUAUAGAUUUUUGAAGAAGGUACGAUUGUAUAACAGUUUUGGUGGUAGAAAAUUUUUUGGUAAGUAAUAUGUAGGUAUGUACCUUUGGUAUCAGGGUAUAUCAAAAUUUUUAAUAUAUUUUGUUUUCCCGAAAGAGAAUGAGUUACGUAGUUAGUCUUUUAUUGUAGCAAAAAUAAGAGUAAUAACUAGCGUAGUAGUGAGAUGCUAUCCGUAUUUUUAGAUAUCUGGUUUUUAUAGAAAUUAUGUAAUGGUUGUUAGUUUGUUUAUCAAUUUGGUAAAAAGUUUGUUAGGGAUAAGCUUAACGUUCUAUCUCUAUAUUGAUUACUGGUUUUGGUUAAGUUAGGCUUAAAAGUAGCUUUUUGUUUUAUAACAUAUACAUAUUUGUCCUGUGAUAUUAGUUAGGUAUAUAGAGGUGCUUAUAACUUUUUAUAGGCAGUAACAAUGAUAUAAUUAGUAGAGUUGAUUUUAAGUUUUUUUAUUAAGUGUCUAUGUCAGUGUAUGAAUUUUUUGGGUACUAAAGAGGAACUCGGCAAAAUGAUUUUUUAACUGUUUAUCAAAAACAUUUCCUUAAGGGUGAAUUUAAGGUAA